rnacentral:tRNA from 1 species
GGAGGGUUGGUAGAGCGGCUUAAUACACCGGUCUUGAAAACCGGAGACGGUAACACGUCCGUGGGUUCAAAUCCCACACCCUCCUCCA